rnacentral:rRNA from 1 species
UGGGGAAUCUUCCGCAAUGGACGAAAGUCUGACGGAGCAACGCCGCGUGAGUGAAGACGGCCUUCGGGUUGUAAAGCUCUGUGAUUCGGGACGAAAGGCCAUAUGUGAAUAAUAUAUGGAAAUGACGGUACCGAAAAAGCAAGCCACGGCUAACUACGUGCCAGCAGCCGCGGUAAUACGUAGGUGGCAAGUGUUGUCCGGAAUUAUUGGGCGUAAAGCGCGCGCAGGCGGUCACUUAAGUCCAUCUUAGAAGUGCGGGGCUUAACCCCGUGAUGGGAUGGAAACUGGGAGACUGGAGUAUCGGAGAGGAAAGUGGAAUUCCUAGUGUAGCGGUGAAAUGCGUAGAUAUUAGGAAGAACACCGGUGGCGAAGGCGACUUUCUGGACGACAACUGACGCUUAGGCGCGAAAGCGUGGGGAGCAAACAGG